UCCAGACUCCUACGGGAGGCAGCAGUGGGGAAUAUUGGGCAAUGGGCGCAAGCCUGACCCAGCAACGCCGCGUGAAGGAAGAAGGCUUUCGGGUUGUAAACUUCUUUUAAGAGGGAAGAGAAGAAGACGGUACCUCUUGAAUAAGCCACGGCUAACUACGUGCCAGCAGCCGCGGUAAUACGUAGGUGGCAAGCGUUGUCCGGAUUUACUGGGUGUAAAGGGCGUGCAGCCGGGCUGACAAGUCAGAUGUGAAAUCCCGCGGCUCAACCGCGGAACUGCAUUUGAAACUGUCAGUCUUGAGUACCGGAGAGGUCAUCGGAAUUCCUUGUGUAGCGGUGAAAUGCGUAGAUAUAAGGAAGAACACCAGUGGCGAAGGCGGAUUACUGGACGAUAACUGACGGUGAGGCGCGAAAGCGUGGGGAGCAAACAGGAUUAGAUACCCCAGUACCA
rnacentral:rRNA from 1 species